rnacentral:rRNA from 1 species
AGCAGUCGCCGCGGUAAUACGGAGGGUGCAAGCGUUAAUCGGAAUUACUGGGCGUAAAGCGCACGCAGGCGGUUUGUUAAGUCAGAUGUGAAAUCCCCGAGCUUAACUUGGGAACUGCAUUUGAAACUGGCAAGCUAGAGUCUUGUAGAGGGGGGUAGAAUUCCAGGUGUAGCGGUGAAAUGCGUAGAGAUCUGGAGGAAUACCGGUGGCGAAGGCGGCCCCCUGGACAAAGACUGACGCUCAGGUGCGAAAGCGUGGGGAGCAAACAGGAUUAGAUACCCGGUAGUCCCUGUCUCUUAUACA